GUCGACGAUUACUCCUACGGGAGGCAGCAGUGGGGAAUAUUGCACAAUGGGGGAAACCCUGAUGCAGCGACGCCGCGUGAGCGAUGAAGUAUUUCCGUAUGUAAAGCUCUAUCAGCAGGGAAGAAAAUGACGGUACCUGACUAAGAAGCACCGGCUAAAUACGUGCCAGCAGCCGCGGUAAUAAUCUCUAGA
rnacentral:rRNA from 1 species